rnacentral:miRNA from 1 species
GGAACCUUGUUGAAAUGCAGGUUCUGAUUCAGUAGGUCUAGAAUGGAACCCAAGAUUCUGCAUCUUUAACAAGUUC